UCGGACGUGGUGCACGGUUCACACCCGCGAUUCAUGAUUGGCAGUGUGAAGGAUUAUUGUGGGAGUUCUGGGUUCGACUCCCAGCGUCCGAA